CAAAUUCAUUCCAUUCUACUGAAUGUGUCAUCGAAAUUAAACAGAGAGCCUUGGAUAACUGAUUGUGGUUUCAUGUGUAAGUUCACUUAACAUGUUACUGAACUUUCUUCGUUCAAAAAGGACAAGGACUAUACAGUCAAUAAGAUUCCGUGUUUGCUAACCUGUUGGCUGCUACCCUUGAAUCUCCCUGUUUGUCAACAACAAAAAAAGAGAUAUGGCCUGUAAGACCAAAUGUCUGGUUGUCACUCCAAAAUAAGGCAAUGACUACACGUUCAACGCGGAUUAUUCGUUUUGUCAUCGAACUUGACUCAUUCCAUCUUCUGGAUUGCUCAGGAAACCUGAUUGGCGUUUUCUGUCCAUUUAGGUAAUGACCGAGAAGAUGCGGCCUACAUGAAUAUCAUUUCGUCGGCCAUUAUCAUUCGACUACCCAACCGGCUUCUACUACCCUGGUCUCAACACAGCAAGGAGUUUUACCCUUAAGAUUUUUGGCUGUUCGCGAUGUGAGAUAUUUCGUUAGACGAGAUGUUGAUUUUGGCGAGAAAAAUAUUGCACCCAUCCCCUGCAAAAGGAAAGGCCAGUUGGCCGCUCGAAGGUCACGGAGAUCAUU
rnacentral:lncRNA from 1 species